CUCGCUUACUCUUCCACGGCUCCUUGAGGCGGAAGGGAUAUGGUCGGUGCCUGGAGAAGCUUCACUUCCCCCUCGAUGGUGGCCCUCUUGACCCCCGGCUUGUUGAAGUCAAGCUGCCUGCCGACCGCCUGCUGCAGGCUAUGUUCGGAAGCCUGGAUGAGUUUGUCUGCCCAGAAGAGGUGCUUGGAGGUCUGCACGCGGAUGGAGCGAUGGUUGGCGGACGCCCUGCCCUCCUCGGCAGCACUCAGGCUUCUAGUUGGAGCAUUGCAGCCACAUUUCCCUCCAGCUCGGGCUUCUUAAAGACCUCAGAGUGAGCCCGCAGCACCACACCUGCCUUCCGUCCCAUCCAGACUACAGAGU